rnacentral:lncRNA from 1 species
CUAAUUAUACCAUAAUAAUGCUAAGCAAGCUUAAUCAAAUUCAAAAAAAUCUCAAAGAAAUUUCAAACAAACAAUAAGAAUUCUUAAAGAAAUAUUAAAAAGAUUACAAAUAUCAUUCAAAUACAUCUCAAUUCAAUCUUAAUUUAAUUCUACUUAAAAUCCUAUUGAACUUUAUUCAAACUUUAGGCCAAAACUAAUUGAAUAUUAAAUCCUAAUAAAAUCCUAAAUCCUAAAUCAAACCUUAAACAACCCUUAAAGCAAAUUCCAAUCAAAUCCUAAUCCAAACCCUAAAUCCUAAACCAAAUCCUAAUUAAAUUCUAAACCCUAAAUCAAACCCUAACCAAAUCCUAAUUCAAACCCUAAAUCCUAAAUCAAAUCCUAUCCAAAUCUUAAAUCCUAAAUAAAUCCUAAUCGAAUCUUAAAUUAAACCCUAAUCAAA